GCUGGGUGUGGUGGCCCACACCUGUAAUCCCAGAUACUUGGGAGGUUGAGGUGGGAAGAUCAUUAAGUUCCAGGCUAACCUGGACAACUUAGAGAGAACCUGUCUCAA
rnacentral:sRNA from 1 species